UGUCAACCUGCGUGUCUCCGCCUGUGUCAUCGUUAGCUUGUUGCUUGCUAGCUUGUAAACAAAUGUUCAGUUCAAACGACUGCAGCAAUAUGUUUUAAAAAGGAAAAAAAAGCCGCGCAAAGGCAAGGUCACAGGAGAAAAAAUGGGCUGUUUUGAAGAUUUGGAGAACUCCUAUUAGGGUCUUUGGAGAUCAUAAAGUCGUCAGGAAGGAGAACAGACCCGUCAGCAGAACCUUUACAGUACAGGAUGGCAAGUCCUGUCCAAAUGUUGGCAAGAAUGCAAGCUGAGCAUCUCCACAACUACAACAAGUGCGGAAAGUCUCGGGACCAGUGUGACGACAGCUGGAGGAUCUGCCUCGGAGAGCGGGAGGAAGGCGGAAGGAAGAGUUUGUGACCAACGACGAAUACGGAAAAAGACUGUAGGAAAUGACAAUGUGUGUGAAGUGAUAAGCCUGCGGCAAAGACUCCCACACCCUGAGGGAGAACUGGGGGCUACAAGACUUUAGCCUCAGUGCUCGGCCCUAUACCGCAGUCCCAGAUGACCCCCCUGGCCAGUCAUCUCAUUGCCAAGUAUGUAUAGACCAGACACACUUACACUAUCUUGGUUGUUGUGUUUAUUGGCGCAUGUUCUUGCUGAGAAAGCUUUUUCAGAUCAGACUUCCUUUGUGAUGCCAACAAAGCCAAAGUAUGUGAUUCUACACGCAUGCACAAAAUGACUUCCUGCACAUGUAAUGUCUCUUUUGUCCGUGAUCGUUUAAUGUAUUAAGAGAAUGAUUUGAAAUUCCUUGCUCUUUUUAUUUGCAGAAUGGUAGUGUGCUUUCAAAACAAAAAAAAUCACAUGCCUAGAGCACAUUUUACUGAUUUAUUGUGUCAAACAUUAUCGAGGUCACAACACAUUUGCUUACUCGUACUUUUACUAUCGCCUUAACUAACGACAUAGGACAAACAUGAAGCUUCUGAACUUUCCAAGGAUCUUUGAACAUGUGUUAAAUGUUACAUUGAUGAUAUUGAAAUGGACGCCACAAUGAAAGAAGAAAGGCACUCACAAAAAACAAGCACAUAGCCCAAAUUCCCUGCAACACCCGCUUGGGGCCGAGAGCAAAAAAAAAAUCCAAAACAAUCCUUUCUGUAGGAAAAACAUCUCACUGUCAACUCGGUGAGGAUUAUUCCUCCACGGUUACCCCCUCCUUUUACUUCCCCUCCGUAAUCCAGCCCCAAAAACUUUUAGUGAAGCCUUUCAAAACAAUUUAUGCAAGCAAACAUCAAGCAGGGUUAUUUGUAUUGGCACCACUCUCCAGUAAACACGACUGAACCAAGACCAGAUGGGACUCGGCCUUUUCCGCCCUUGUGUGCUGCAUCCCAAGUCCACAGCAGAAGCUCGUUUUUUGGGUUUUUUUUUACUCACCUUUCAUCAUGUUCACCACUUCUGGAUGAACGGAUGCAUGUGAGAAUUGAAUUAUAAUGGGACUUCUAGAUUCAGAUGGCCCUGACCCUGGAAUUUGACCAACAUUUUAUAGAUAGUUAUACAGUAGAUUUAAAGAUAUAGAUUUAUAUAGCACCUUUUUUAAGAUACCCAUAGCGCUGCACAGUGAAACCCAUUAUUCAGUCACUCCACAGUCACUCACUGGUGGUGGUAAGCUACAUCUGUAUCCACAGCUGCCCUGGGGUAGAGUCACAUAGAAACACGUGGCUGCCAGUUUGCGCCUACGGCCUUUCCGACCACCACCAAACAUUCAUUCACAUUUAUACACCAGUGUGGGCGGCACUGGAGGCAAGCUGGGUGAAAUGUCUUGCCCAAGGACACAACUCAAGGGGUGGAGGAAGCGGUGGGCAAUCCACCAACCUUUUCUGGACGACCUGCUCUAUCUACCUCCUGAGCCACUGCCGCCCACAUUAUAGGAUUAACUGAAGAGCAAGUGUUGUGCUUUUUGGUGCUUUUGGCAGAACAGGCCUCGCAUUCAAAACGGGGAAAACUCUAGCAUCACCACAUGUGAAUUUAGUUAUGAAAGUAGUGUUUUAUAGAAUUGGACCCUUUCUAUUAACAGUGGUUAACUUCUGUUUACACUUUCGCCAUAGUCAAGAGGCAUAUUUACUGGGACUCACCUUAGUCAUUUUGUUGUAUUGUUUUUAGGUUUUACAAUUAACUGUGGUUAACUCAUUCAAUACCAAAGACGUAUUUAUACAUUUUUAUAAUCCCGAACGCCCGAUCCCAACAACGUAUUUAUAUGUCUUUAGUAUUUUUUGGCGAGAGAGGCAAAAAGAGGUGAUGACGCAACUCCCCACUUCAGAGCAAUUUUAAGCCAUAAAAUGGGCCACAAGGUGGCAGAAGUGUAUUUGAUAAGAGCUCAACAGAGAUCAUGUGAACAGAAAAAAAAUCACACAUGGCAGGAAGAAGGAAGUGAGAGAGCGCGGAGGAGUGUAGCGCAAAGAAGGUUACGCAUUGUAGGGAAAUUUUAACGCAUGCACACACAGGCGUACACGCAUGCACACACAUAGUUCAGCUUCAAAUGUGAAAAUUGUAAAUAGCUCAUGGUGUUAUAUGUGCAAAUAAAUUGUUAUUUUGAUGUAAAGCAACCCUUUUUGUGUUGUUUAUGUUGGCGUAGUUGUUUAGAUAUUUGAGCUGUCACAAAAGCUAAAAAUAUUUGUGUCAAAGUGAAAGUUAUGCUUGAAAUGUAUCUUUUCA